rnacentral:rRNA from 1 species
GUUAUCUAAUAAAAUAAUAGGUUUAUUAUUCACGAAACUUGACGAGCUAAAUUUGUUUUUGUCUUAGUAUUUAUUAUUAGUGUAGCAUAAUUAAUAUAAUAAGCAAAUGUAGGGGUGAUAGGCCUAUCAAGUCAAGUGAUAUCUUGUUAAUAAAGAAAUAUAUUAAGUAUAUAAGUCAUACUAUAAAUGUUUAGGUUUAUAGAAAGCAUUAUUAUAUAUAUACAUUCUGGUCGAAUUAGUAAUAUAUACGAUCACUAAGGUAUAUAACAUAAAUUAAUAAAAUAUAUGUAAACUAAUUAUUCAUUUAAAAUAAUUUAAUAAUAAAACUGAUUAUGAUAAUAUGAGUAUUAUUAAGAAUUUAUAAUAAGGAACUCGGCAAAUAUUUUUCUCGACUGUUUAUCAAAAACAUUGCUUUUAGAAAUAUAUUAAAGGUUUACUCUGCUCAAUGAUUAUUUUAAAUAGCCGCAGUACCCUGACUGUGCAAAGGUAGCAUAAUCAAUUGGCUAAUAAUUAUAGUCUAGUAUGAAUGGGAAUUUGGGAAAUAACUGUCUUAUUUUAAUACAUAGAAAUUACUUAGUAAGUGAAAAUGCUUUCAAAUAGAAAAAAGACGAGAAGACCCUAGAAAUUUUUUAUAUUUGUAAUUAAUCUAUUUUGUUGGGGCGACAAGGUAACAAAGAACUUAUCUUUUAAAAUAAGAACUUAUUUAGGUGUAAAAGUAAAUUACUCUAGGGAUAACAGCAUAAUAAAAUAAAGUUUGUGACCUCGAUGUUGGACUAGGAAUCUUUUUAUUUAGAAGAUAAAUUAGUAAGCUCUGUUCGAGCUAUUUAUUCCUACAUGAUCUGAGUUCAGACCGG